rnacentral:rRNA from 1 species
GGGUUGUGAGGUUAAGCGACUAAGCGUACACGGUGGAUGCCUAGGCAGUCAGAGGCGAUGAAGGGCGUGCUAAUCUGCGAAAAGCGUCGGUAAGCUGAUAUGAAGCGUUAUAACCGACGAUACCCGAAUGGGGAAACCCAGUGCAAUACGUUGCACUAUCGUUAGAUGAAUACAUAGUCUAACGAGGCGAACCGGGGGAACUGAAACAUCUAAGUACCCCGAGGAAAAGAAAUCAACCGAGAUUCCCCCAGUAGCGGCGAGCGAACGGGGAGGAGCCCAGAGUCUGAAUCAGUUUGUGUGUUAGUGGAAGCGUCUGGAAAGUCGCACGGUACAGGGUGAUAGUCCCGUACACCAAAAUGCACAGGCUGUGAACUCGAUGAGUAGGGCGGGACACGUGACAUCCUGUCUGAAUAUGGGGGGACCAUCCUCCAAGGCUAAAUACUCCUGACUGACCGAUAGUGAACCAGUACCGUGAGGGAAAGGCGAAAAGAACCCCGGCGAGGGGAGUGAAAUAGAACCUGAAACCGUGUACGUACAAGCAGUGGGAGCACCUUCGUGGUGUGACUGCGUACCUUUUGUAUAAUGGGUCAGCGACUUAUAUUUUGUAGCAAGGUUAACCGAAUAGGGGAGCCGUAGGGAAACCGAGUCUUAACUGGGCGUCUAGUUGCAAGGUAUAGACCCGAAACCCGGUGAUCUAGCCAUGGGCAGGUUGAAGGUUGGGUAACACUAACUGGAGGACCGAACCGACUAAUGUUGAAAAAUUAGCGGAUGACUUGUGGCUGGGGGUGAAAGGCCAAUCAAACCGGGAGAUAGCUGGUUCUCCCCGAAAGCUAUUUAGGUAGCGCCUCGUGAACUCAUCUUCGGGGGUAGAGCACUGUUUCGGCUAGGGGGCCAUCCGGCUUACCAAACCGAUGCAAACUCCGAAUACCGAAGAAUGUUAUCACGGGAGACACACGGCGGGUGCUAACGUCCGUCGUGAAGAGGGAAACAACCCAGACCGCCAGCUAAGGUCCCAAAGUCAUGGUUAAGUGGGAAACGAUGUGGGAAGGCACAGACAGCCAGGAUGUUGGCUUAGAAGCAGCCAUCAUUUAAAGAAAGCGUAAUAGCUCACUGGUCGAGUCGGCCUGCGCGGAAGAUGUAACGGGGCUAAACCAUGCACCGAAGCUGCGGCAGCGACGUUUAGGCGUUGUUGGGUAGGGGAGCGUUCUGUAAGCCGUUGAAGGUGACCUGUGAGGGUUGCUGGAGGUAUCAGAAGUGCGAAUGCUGACAUAAGUAACGAUAAUGCGGGUGAAAAACCCGCACGCCGGAAGACCAAGGGUUCCUGUCCAACGUUAAUCGGGGCAGGGUGAGUCGACCCCUAAGGCGAGGCUGAAAAGCGUAGUCGAUGGGAAACAGGUUAAUAUUCCUGUACUUGGUGUUACUGCGAAGGGGGGACGGAGAAGGCUAGGCUGGCCGGGCGACGGUUGUCCCGGUUUAAGCGUGUAGGGGGAGUGACCAGGUAAAUCCGGUUGCUUAUCAACCCUGAGGCGUGAUGACGAUGCACCACGGUGCAGAAGCAGUUGAUGCCAUGCUUCCAGGAAAAGCCUCUAAGCAUCAGGUAACAUUAAAUCGUACCCCAAACCGACACAGGUGGUCAGGUAGAGAAUACUCAGGCGCUUGAGAGAACUCGGGUGAAGGAACUAGGCAAAAUGGUGCCGUAACUUCGGGAGAAGGCACGCUGGCGUUAGGUGAAAGGACUAGCUCCUGGAGCUGAAGCCAGUCGCAGAUACCAGCUGGCUGCAACUGUUUAAUAAAAACACAGCACUGUGCAAACACGAAAGUGGACGUAUACGGUGUGACGCCUGCCCGGUGCUGGAAGGUUAAUUGAUGGGGUCAGCCGCAAGGCGAAGCUCUUGAUCGAAGCCCCAGUAAACGGCGGCCGUAACUAUAACGGUCCUAAGGUAGCGAAAUUCCUUGUCGGGUAAGUUCCGACCUGCACGAAUGGCGUAAUGAUGGCCAGGCUGUCUCCACCCGAGACUCAGUGAAAUUGAACUCGCUGUGAAGAUGCAGUGUACCCGCGGCAAGACGGAAAGACCCCGUGAACCUUUACUAUAGCUUGACACUGAACAUUGAGCCUUGAUGUGUAGGAUAGGUGGGAGGCCUUGAAGUGUGGACGCCAGUCUGCAUGGAGCCAACCUUGAAAUACCACCCUUUAAUGUUUGAUGUUCUAACUCGGCCCCAUGAUCUGGGGUGAGGACAGUGUCUGGUGGGUAGUUUGACUGGGGCGGUCUCCUCCCAAAGAGUAACGGAGGAGCACGAAGGUUAGCUAAUCACGGUCGGACAUCGUGAGGUUAGUGCAAAGGCAUAAGCUAGCUUGACUGCGAGAGUGACGGCUCGAGCAGGUACGAAAGUAGGUCUUAGUGAUCCGGUGGUUCUGAAUGGAAGGGCCAUCGCUCAACGGAUAAAAGGUACUCCGGGGAUAACAGGCUGAUACCGCCCAAGAGUUCAUAUCGACGGCGGUGUUUGGCACCUCGAUGUCGGCUCAUCACAUCCUGGGGCUGAAGUAGGUCCCAAGGGUAUGGCUGUUCGCCAUUUAAAGUGGUACGCGAGCUGGGUUUAGAACGUCGUGAGACAGUUCGGUCCCUAUCUGCCGUGGGCGUUGGAAGAUUGAGAGGGGCUGCUCCUAGUACGAGAGGACCGGAGUGGACGAAUCACUGGUGUUCGGGUUGUCAUGCCAAUGGCAUUGCCCGGUAGCUAAAUUCGGAAGAGAUAACCGCUGAAAGCAUCUAAGCGGGAAACUUGCCUCGAGAUGAGUCUUCCCUGGGGCUUAAAGCCCCCUGAAGGAACGUUAAAGACUAUGACGUUGAUAGGCUGGGUGUGUAAGUGCAGCGAUGUAUUGAGCUAACCAGUACUAAUGAUCCGUGAGGCUUAACCUUACAACACCGAAGGUGUUU